rnacentral:rRNA from 1 species
UACAGAGGUCCCGAGCGUUGUUCGGAUUCACUGGGCGUAAAGGGUGCGUAGGUGGCGAGGAAAGUCGGAUGUGAAAGCUCGGAGCUCAACUCCGAAAUGGCAUUGGAAACUACCUUGCUCGAGGGUUGGAGGGGGGACUGAAUUCCCGGUGUAGAGGUGAAAUUCGUAGAUAUCGGGAGGAACACCGGUGGCGAAGGCGGCGACCUGGGUAGAUACUGACGCUGAGACACGAAAGCCAGGGGAGCGAACGGG